UGGUUAAAGUUGACAAUAUGACAGCAAUCUAAGCCACUGCUGGUUAGUGGUCAUUGUAAAAAUGCAUGUGGCUGCCAAGUAUGUGUGCUCUUCUUUGAAUCCAUGUCUGUGUCGCCUCUAAACUUCUCCUUUUAAAGGAAAAGAAUUCAUCAGCAGAUCUGAGUUAGAAGUCCUAUUGCCAGCCACUGCUUACUUCCACCGACAGUGCAGUGUUUACCUGGGACUUGGAAACUCAUAAAUCACGGUUCUUCUAGGGACCCUGUCAGCCCCAGACACAUGUGGCAAUGUCUGCAGUCCUCUGAGUUUGUGGAGGCGGAGAGAGCCAAGGAGGUUAUAGCAUGUGUUCCACACAGAAGGUGCCCCAGCAUAGAGGGCAAAGCCUGGGAUGCUCUGCUGUGCCAGCCGACCUGAACCUCCGUGUAGACUCUAGUUCAGCCACCCAUCCUGAGGCUGAGCCUGGAGGCGUCCUGGUAACCUCAAAGCAAUGAUGCCCCUGAGCUCCUGAGCCAGGCACCUGGAGGAGAGACCACAGGGAGCCUCAGAUGCCAAUCAGUCCACAGAGUCAAAGUGAGUGUGAAAAUCAACGUCGGACGUUCUUUCCAAACACGAGGCAGGAUCAGCACCUCUGGGGGGGGGGGGGUCAGGCAUGUGAGCGUGUGAGUGUCCUGCCUUGCACACUGGAGGCUCAUAAAUGGCACUUGGGUUGGAGCUGGCUAUGUGUGACAUGGGACAGGGGUCAAGGGAAACCCGGUAACCUGUUACACCUGUAGUUCUCUGCCAAGUCCCUUUUUCCUAUAAAGAAAAAUGCUUCCUUUUCAGGCCUUCUGACCAAGAUAUAAAAGCAAGUAUCUUCCAGGCAACUUUCACAGCAGCAGCAGGAAGGCAGCUGGGGACUGUGCCCACAUCCAGGCCUCCACUUCGUGAGCUCUGAAAGCAGAGAAGCACUGGGUUCAAUUUCUGCCGUCAGCCUGGCAUUCUGGCGUCAGCUGCCUUUUUCCUACUUAAUUCUCUUUAACCACAGAACUGUGCAGCUUAUCCUGAGUUAUGAUAUCACCAACUGCAGUCCUUAGUACAGUUAAUCACUAUUACACAAGUCAGUCUUGCCCAGGUACCCAUGGACAGA